CCUACGGGGGGCUGCAGUGAGGAAUAUUGGUCAAUGGGCGGAAGCCUGAACCAGCCAAGUCGCGUGAGGGAUUAAGGCCCUGCGGGUCGUAACCCUCUUUUGCCGGGGAGCAGAGGUCCGGACGUGUCCGGGCCGGGAGAGUACCCGGAGAAAAAGCAUCGGCUAACUCCGUGCCAGCAGCCGCGGUAAUACGUGGGGUGCGAGCGUUAUCCGGAUUGAUUGGGUUUAAAGGGUGCGUAAGCGGGCAUUUGAGCCGGCGGUCAAAUGUCGGGGCUCAAUCACGGCAUGCAGUCGGAACUGGGGGCCUUGAGUGGGCGAGAAGUAUGCGGAAGGCGUGGUGUAGCGGUGAAAUGCAUAGAUAUCACGCAGAACCCCGAUUGCGAAGGCAGCAUACCGGCGCCCUACUGACGCUGAGGCACGAAAGUGCGGGUAUCGAACAGGAUUAGAUACCCUUGUAGUC
rnacentral:rRNA from 1 species